rnacentral:rRNA from 1 species
AUUGAACGCUGGCGGCAGGCCUAACACAUGCAAGUCGAACGAGUGGCGGACGGGUGAGUAAUGUCUGGGAAACUGCCUGAUGGAGGGGGAUAACUACUGGAAACGGUAGCUAAUACCGCAUACUAUCAGAUGUGCCCAGAUGGGAUUAGCUAGUUGGUGGGGUAAAGGCUCACCAAGGCGACGAUCCCUAGCUGGUCUGAGAGGAUGACCAGCCACACUGGGACUGAGACACGGUCCAGACUCCUACGGGAGGCAGCAGUGGGGAAUAUUGCACAAUGGGCGAAAGCCUGAUACAGCCAUGCCGCGUGUAUGAAGAAGGCCUUCGGGUUGUAAAGUACUUUCGGCGGGGAGGCGUUACCCGCAGAAGAAGCACCGGCUAACUCCGUGCCAGCAGCCGCGGUAAUUC